UAGCUACAGGCUUAACACAUGCAAGUCGAGGGGAAACGACAUCGAAAGCUUGCCUUUGAUGGGCGUCGACCGGCGCACGGGUGAGUAACGCGUAUCCAACCUGCCCACCACUUGGGGAUAACCUUGCGAAAGUAAGACUAAUACCCAAUGACGUCUCUAGAAGACAUCUGAAAGAGAUUAAAGAUUUAUCGGUGAUGGAUGGGGAUGCGUCUGAUUAGCUUGUUGGCGGGGUAACGGCCCACCAAGGCGACGAUCAGUAGGGGUUCUGAGAGGAAGGUCCCCCACAUUGGAACUGAGACACGGUCCAAACUCCUACGGGAGGCAGCAGUGAGGAAUAUUGGUCAAUGGACGAGAGUCUGAACCAGCCAAGUAGCGUGCAGGAUGACGGCCCUAUGGGUUGUAAACUGCUUUUAUAAGGGAAUAAAGUGAGUCUCGUGAGACUUUUUGCAUGUACCUUAUGAAUAAGGACCGGCUAAUUCCGUGCCAGCAGCCGCGGUAAUACGGAAGGUCCGGGCGUUAUCCGGAUUUAUUGGGUUUAAAGGGAGCGUAGGCCGGAGAUUAAGCGUGUUGUGAAAUGUAGACGCUCAACGUCUGCACUGCAGCGCGAACUGGUUUCCUUGAGUACGCACAAAGUGGGCGGAAUUCGUGGUGUAGCGGUGAAAUGCUUAGAUAUCACGAAGAACUCCGAUUGCGAAGGCAGCUCACUGGAGCGCAACUGACGCUGAAGCUCGAAAGUGCGGGUAUCGAACAGGAUUAGAUACCCUGGUAGUCCGCACGGUAAACGAUGGAUGCCCGCUGUUGGUCUGAAUAGGUCAGCGGCCAAGCGAAAGCAUUAAGCAUCCCACCUGGGGAGUACGCCGGCAACGGUGAAACUCAAAGGAAUUGACGGGGGCCCGCACAAGCGGAGGAACAUGUGGUUUAAUUCGAUGAUACGCGAGGAACCUUACCCGGGCUUGAAUUGCAGAGGAAGGAUUUGGAGACAAUGACGCCCUUCGGGGCCUCUGUGAAGGUGCUGCAUGGUUGUCGUCAGCUCGUGCCGUGAGGUGUCGGCUUAAGUGCCAUAACGAGCGCAACCCCUCUCCUUAGUUGCCAUCAGGUCAAGCUGGGCACUCUGGGGACACUGCCACCGUAAG
rnacentral:rRNA from 1 species